CUGGCAGUUUGCCUGCCUCUUUCACUCCUCCCCCUAAAGACCAAGGACUUUUACUUAUACUGACUCUGGCUGAUCCUGAGGUCUCCAGAGAGCUAGUUUGGAUUUAACAUACAAGAAACACAUUUAAGGCAGAAAGAUAUAGUCAGAGUAAAGGGUGCUCUGUUAUGCUCAAACUGCAUCCAUAUGAGAUAGCAGCCGGAGGACCUCAAAACCGAGAAUCUCAAUGAUACAAGGAAAACAGAGGAUUGGGAAUGAGGAUUAUCAGACUCCCUACCUUGACACAGGAAAUAAAGCACAUAACCAGUGAUUGAACCUGUCAAAAAAAAUGCAUCUUCCUCUCCAACCUUUUACUCCAAGCUUUCUUAAUGACCAGCUUGUGAUAUCAGGUGCUGAAUCCUUUUUAAUGGCCACAACUAACCAAUUCCAUAGAUGCAGUUCAGCAAGAAUUUCGUUCCAUUCCUCUAAUCUUCUGGACACAGAGGGAGGAAAAGGCACCAUCUAAACAGGAUUACUUAACUGUAGACUCA
ensembl:lncRNA